UACGUAGGGUGCGAGCGUUGCCCGGAUUUAUUGGGCGUAAAGGGCGCGCAGGCGGCCACGCACGUCCGUUGUGAAAUCGCCCGGCUCAACUGGGCGGGGUCGGCGGAUACGGCGUGGCUGGAGCAAGCUAGGGGGUAGUGGAAUUCCCGGUGUAGUGGUGGAAUGCGUAGAUAUCGGGAAGAACAUCAGUGGCGAAGGCGGCCUGCUGGGCUGUUGCUGACGCUGAGGCGCGACAGCGUGGGGAGCAAACAGG
rnacentral:rRNA from 1 species